GGAGGGGAAGGCACAGGUAGCUUCGGGGCCCUCCUGGGUCAGCUCACACCCGGAGGCCCGGCAUCGCGCGGUGCGGGCGCUGCGCUCCGCCGCCCGCAGCCGCGCUCCACGAACUCCUGCGGUCCCCGACGCUUCCCUACGAGGCGGCAGCUACUGCUCGCGACCCCGAAGGUUCCUCCACGCCGCGCCCCCCUUCACUUCGCCAGCCUUCUUCGGCCUCUCUGGCUUGGGCGUGGGGGCUCAGAAGCUGUCCAGGCGAGAGCGGGACGCCGGGUGCCAAGCAGCUCCGGAGGGCGCGGACUGGGGCAACCGCGGGGGUGGGGUGGGGGUGACAGGGACGCCAAGCCCGGGUAGUCGAAAGUCCCGUUUUAAGGACUGGCCUGAUAGAUUACUUUCUACUUAAAGAUCCAGCGGGAGGCGGGGCCACGUGACCGCGCGUGACGUCAGGGCCGCGGUGGAGCCGGCCAAACUCAAGUUGGUUCAGGGAAUUGUCAACAAAGGGACAAGAGAAGCGCAACUCCUGACCGACAAGGCGCUAGCAUCCCGUGGGCCCCCGAGGGCUCUUCGGGCUGCCGGGAGACCCCUGCUCACGCUGGAGCCGGGCGCCGGGUCCAGGGAGGGCGUGAGUGUGGGUGGGUGGGGGUGGAGAGGGUGUGGGCCUCAGAGAGUGUCCUCCGGACCGUGGGGCUCCUACCGCCCUGCCUUCUCCGCCCCCUGCCCUUUUCUGCCUUCCCUACUUUGCUAAUAUUAUUCAGACCGACUCGCAGUGCAGAACAAGAUUGUUGUUUUUAAGAAAACUUAUGAUUUUGCUUUGGUUUGGGUUUUUGUUUGUUUUCGAUCCAAGGAUUAAGGGAACACAUCCGGCUCCCUUUUCCUAAUUAGGCCUCGUACCCCCUCCUGUCUCAGGGCUAUUCUAGAAACAAGACACCUGCUGAUGAGCUUCCCCAUCAUUUUCAAACCUAACUACUCAAGCCUUAUCCUAGCUUCCCUGGCUCCAUGCGGGCUUGCAUAUAAAUAUACAUAUAUAUUCGCAUGGUCACAACACCAUCAGCUGCGGUUUCCCGGGGUCAGAAAAUAGCUAUCGAUUAACCUAUUAGGAUAGUUGCAGAGAAAUAAAAAGAAUGUAAAAUAACAGGGAACCUAUAAACAAAGAAGCCAUAACUGGCUGUUGGAGUUGUUAAACGACUUAGCACAGAAAAAGUCGGAAAUGAGCUGGAAAUGGAGCAGGUGUUGGCAGCGGCCUGGCACAGGCAAACCCUUCAAGACUUAACCUGGGCAGAAACCUGCGUCAAAGAAGAGGCGAGGAUGUGUCCAGCGCACAAGGAGUUUCCCUGACAAGGAAUGCCAGCGAUGUUGUUCUCGGGGGUUACACCUGACCCUAAAACGCACGUCUGAGUUGAUUUCUGCUGCUGCACCACUUGUGACCCGCUGGCUCAUAAAAGCAUCUUCUACGCUGACUAGACAGUCCUCUCUGGAAACCGACAGGAGCUACGAGCUGGGCCUGGCUGCCUAUCACCCUAGGCAAGAGUUACAGUGGCAACUGCCCAAGCGACUCAAAGAAAGGUGGGGAGGAAAAGAAAACAUAAUCCAAAUUUACCAAUUCAGGAACGCCUUUCGCCCAAUUUGGAUUGCCAGGCGAUAGCCGCAGGCGCAAAGCUGUGCGCGGACCGGACUGCGGUCUUGAUAGCCGGGCCUCCAGUGGAGCGGUGCGUGCCGGUGCGCGCGCCGAGAACCCAGGCUCCAAGGCUGCUUACGGGGUCUCCUUUUGAGAUACUCUCCAAAUGAGCCUAAUUUCGAUUUCUCCGUGGGCCUGAGCUGGCUCCGGAGACUUUCUCCGCGUCGCCAUUGGCAGCCUCUCCCCCUCCGCCAAGGCCGGAUCUGGGCGGUCCAUUCCCGUGUGUCUCCUUGGAAGCUCUCUAGGGAAGGGGGUGGUGAACAACUCCCAGCUGCCGGUUCCAUUUGUUGCGCUUUUCUCCUUCGACACAAUAAAAGUCAA